rnacentral:rRNA from 1 species
GAUGAACGCUGGCGGCGUGCCUAAUACAUGCAAGUCGAGCGAACGGACGAGAAGCUUGCUUUUCUGAUGUUAGCGGCGGACGGGUGAGUAACACGUGGAUAACCUACCUAUAAGACUGGGAUAACUUCGGGAAACCGGAGCUAAUACCGGAUAAUAUUUUGAACCGCAUGGUUCAUAAGUGAAAGACGGUCUUGCUGUCACUUAUAGAUGGAUCCGCGCUGCAUUAGCUAGUUGGUAAGGUAACGGCUUACCAAGGCAACGAUGCAUAGCCGACCUGAGAGGGGGAUCGGCCACACUGGAACUGAGACACGGUCCAGACUCCUACGGGAGGCAGCAGUAGGGAAUCUUCCGCAAUGGGCGAAAGCCUGACGGAGCAACGCCGCGUGAGUGAUGAAGGUCUUCGGAUCGUAAAACUCUGUUAUUAGGGAAGAACAUAUGUGUAAGUAACUGUGCACAUCUUGACGGUACCUAAUCAGAAAGCCACGGCUAACUACGUG